CAGUAGCCGCGGGAAUACGUAGGUCCCGAGCGUUGUCCGGAUUUAUUGGGCGUAAAGGGAGCGCAGGCGGUUUAGUAAGUCAGAAGUUAAAGGCAUUGGCUCAACCAAUGUAUGCUUUGGAAACUGUCAAACUUGAGUGCAGAAGGGGAGAGUGGAAUUCCAUGUGUAGCGGUGAAAUGCGUAGAUAUAUGGAGGAACACCGGUGGCGAAAGCGGCUCUCUGGUCUGUAACUGACGCUGAGGCUCGAAAGCGUGGGGAGCGAACAGGAUUAGAUACCCCGGUAGUCCCUGUCUCUUAUACA
rnacentral:rRNA from 1 species